AGAAAAAUUCAAACACCAAAAAUAAAAUAAAUUGAAUUGAAUCAAAAACAGCAACAAAAACAACGUUAGACUAAAACGCGAUCAACGCCAUCUGCUAGUGUCUCUUUGAUUAACUAAUGAAUGAUUUUUCUUUUGUUUUCAUUUUUUUCGUUCAUUAACAGUUGUUUAAGGUCUUCUUUUCAUCAUUUAGUUAUGAUUAACAAAUAUUUUAUAAUUGUUAAUUUAGUUAAAUCAAUAGUAAUUAGUUUUUUCAUUUUAGUGAAUUUAAACUCGCAUAAUGUCAAAAACUGGUUGAAUUACAGUUAUAUGAGCUCUACAAGUCAAAAGAAUCUCCAGUUACGGUUUGUAAUGUUUUGUUUUUUGCUCUUCUAGUUUAUUACUCAUUAAUUGUCGAACAAAUUUUACCCUGUAACAAGUAAUUUACAAAACAAAAUCUUUUUGUACAGUAAAGCAGCUGACGCGAUUCCAAUUUGAAUGCAAAAUUUACAUCAUAAGCAAAAAUGAAACAUGAUAAUAUGAUAGGCAAUAUCAAGAGGUCAAGUUGAUUCUGUAACUAUAUGUCUUUGUUGGCCAUGGAAGUAAAAAUUGUUUACUCUCAGGAUAAAACUUUAAGGACAAUAAUAGGAUCAUAAUUGAUGACCUUCAAUCAAUCACAUGAGUAUAAAAAGUGAAUUUUCAAUGUGAAUUGAACAAUUGUUAAACAUCGCCAUUACUUAAAUGGACUCAGCUCUCAUUCACUUAAAUGCUACCUGAACAAAAAGACUAGGUAAUGGUUACCAGCUAUGUUUGACUUUCGCUCAACCCAACUAUAAUAAAAUAACAACUGACAAUAUCGAGUUACAGUGAUAUAUCAAAAGGAAGCUGGAAAAGAGAAAGGAUAAUGGAUAAGACAAAAAAGGAGAGGAGAAAUAAAAUGAAAAACAAAAGGUAAAUUUCAAGUAAUGUUGAAAUUUCAAGAUGAAGUCAAGCGAUUCUUACCAGGUACUUGUGAGUCAUUGAUAUUGCUGUUAUAUACAUAUAAAUGGAGAAUAAACAUGGAAAAAUGAAGAAAAGGAGAACAACAGAGGAAAAGAUGGAAUAAAAGAAGUUGAAAAAAGCCUAAAACUCAAGAAUCUUGCAAGAUUUAGAGGGGAAAAAAGAAUUGAAGAGAUUGUUUUUUUUUUUCUUUUCAAUUAAUUGGUUUUUGAUUCGCGAGUUACUUUAAACUGAUGCCAACAAAAGUGUCUACAUUCAACAUGAACCAAAAAACUGGAAUGGAAAUGAACUAAAGUAAAGAAAAGGAAAAGCAAAGAAGGAUCACAAAAUAAAGAUAAGAAGCAACUUGAUGAUGAGGUUAAAGUUGAAAAUGAAUAUGGAGAAGCAAAUAAAAGCAAAGAAAGGUGGAAUCCAAGAAGAAAAAUGGCUUCGAGAAAUGUAUAGAUAAACUUGGUUUCAAUUUUAGUUUUGAUUUUUUGCUCUACUUCCAUUGGAAAGGUACCAUUUCAAGGGUAAAAGCUUAAAAGGCGCAGCUUUUUGUUUCUGUUGACUAUGCAAAACAAUUUUUGCAUGCAAAAACAAAACUAAGAUGAAUAAGAUGACGAAGAAGAAGAUGGAUCUUUCCACUUUCACUCUCAAUCUAAAAGAAAGCAAAGAUAUACUCAUUCGUUUAAUAAGAUGGAUAUUUCAUAGAUUGACUCCAGGGAAAUUCUUCCCAUUUAAUUUCUCUUCUCCUUGUCAUCAUCAUCAUCACCGUCUCUACCACUUUUAAACUACUCUUAGUUUCAAAGCAACCCUCUUUUCACUCAGAAUUGGCGAGGAAAUGAGAGGAGAAAAUUUUUUUGAUGCUUUUGGCCUGUUAAUGUGAAUAUUUAUCUGCAUCAUUAUCAUUCCUUUUAACAUUCAUUAUAAUGCUAACACAUCAUCAUCAUCAUGGAAACUAUUACAAUUGAGAUUUAAGAGGUAGCAGCAAAAAGGAGGGAAUUCCUUGUGAUACAUCUAAGCUUGUUA